rnacentral:rRNA from 1 species
CUACCAGACUCCUACGGGAGGCAGCAGUGGGGAAUAUUGGGCAAUGGAGGAAACUCUUACCCAGCAAUGCCGCGUGAAUGAAGAAGGUCUUCGGAUUGUAAAGUUCUUUAAUUGGGGACGAAGAAAAUGACGGUACCCAAGGAAUAAGCCCCGGCUAACUACGUGCCAGCAGCCGCGGUAAUACGUAGGGGGCAAGCGUUAUCCGGAUUUACUGGGUGUAAAGGGGGCGCAGACGGCAGCGCAAGCCAGGAGUGAAAGCCCGGGGCCCAACCCCGGGACUGCCCUUGGAACUGCAUGGCUGGAGUGCGGGAGGGGCAGGCGGAAUUCCUGGUGUAGCGGUGAAAUGCGUAGAUAUCAGGAGGAACACCGGCGGCGAAGGCGGCCUGCUGGACCGCGACUGACGUUGAGGCUCGAAAGCGUGGGGAGCGAACAGGAUUAGAUACCCCUGUA